rnacentral:rRNA from 1 species
AUGGAGGAGACAGGGACCGAGCGGCUGGCGCCGCGGCCGCACGUCGUCCUGCUCGCCAGCCCCGGCGCCGGCCACCUCAUCCCGCUGGCCGAGCUGGCGCGGCGGCUCGUCGACCACCACGGCUUCGCGGCCACGCUCGUCACCUUCACCGACCUCUCCUCCCCGGAUGCCCUCUCCGGCGUCCCCGCCACCGUCGCCACCGCCGCGCUCCCGUCCGUCCCGCUCGACGACCUCCCCGCCGGCACUCCUAUGGAGACCGUGCUCUUCGAGCUCGUCCACCGUUCGCUCCCGAGCCUCCGCGCCCUCCUCCGCUCCGUCGGCGCCCCCCUCGCCGCGCUGGUGCCCGACUUCUUCUGCUCCUCGGCGCUGCCGCUCGCCGCCGAGCUCGGCGUCCCGGGGUACGUCUUCGUGCCCAGCAACCUCACCACCAUCGCGCUCAUGCGCGCCACGGUGGAGCUCCACGACGGCGUUCCACCCGGCGAGUACCGCGACCUCCCUGACCCUCUGGAGCUCCCCGGUGGCGUGUCGCUGCGCCGCACCGACCUGCCGCGCUCGUUCCAGAGCAGCGGCAAGCCGGUCUACGCGCACCUGAUGGAGGAGGGCCGGCGGUACCUCCGCGCGGACGGCUUACUUGUGAACACCUUCUACGAGUUGGAGCCCGCCACCGUGGAAGAGUUCAAGCAGGCGGCGGAGCGAGCCGCGUUGCCGCCCGUGUUCCCCGUGGGUCCGUUCGUCCGGCCAAGCACAACCACCGACGAAGCCGCCGGCGCGUCCGCGUGCAUAGAGUGGCUAGAUCGCCAGCCGACUGGGUCUGUUGUGUACGUCUCCUUCGGGAGCGGCGGGUCGCUGACCGUGGAGCAGACGGCAGAGCUCGCCGCCGGGCUGGAGGCGAGCGGCCACAGGUUCCUUUGGGUCGUGAGGAUGCCGAAUCUGGACGGCCAUGACCAUGAAGACAAGCAAAACCCGUUGGCGUGGCUCCCGGAGAGCUUCCUGGAGAGGACGGCGGACAAGGGGCUGGCCGUGGCGGCGUGGGCGCCUCAGGUGCGCGUGCUGUCCCACCCGGCGACGGCGGUGUUCGUGUCGCACUGCGGCUGGAACUCGGCGCUGGAGAGCGUGGCGGCCGGCGUGCCGAUGGUGGCGUGGCCGCUGUACGCGGAGCAGCGGAUGAACGCCGUGGUCCUGGAAGGGAGCGUCGGGGUGGCGCUGCGCCCGCGGGCGCGGGAGCGCGGCGAGAUCGCGGCCGUGGUGAGGGAGCUGAUGGAGGGGGCGGACAAGGGGCGCGCCGUGCGGCGGCAGGCCGGGGACCUGCAGCAGGCGGCGGCGCGCGCGUGGUCGCCCGAGGGGUCGUCGCGCCGGGCGCUGGAGCAGGCCGCGGCCACGUGGAAGAAGGUGACGCUCGCCAAGGUGAAGUAA